rnacentral:rRNA from 1 species
CUUUCUUUGCUGGCGACCGGCGCACGGGUGAGUAACACGUAUCCAACCUGCCCUUUACUCGGGGAUAGCCUUUCGAAGAAAGAUUAAUACCCGAUAGCAUAAUGAUUCCGCAUGGUUUCAUUAUUAAAGGAUUCCGGUAAAGGAUGGGGAUGCGUUCCAUUAGGUUGUUGGUGAGGUAACGGCCCACCAAGCCUUCGAUGGAUAGGGGUUCUGAGAGGAAGGUCCCCCACAUUGGAACUGAGACACGGUCCAA